GGAGGUGCGUGUAGCUCAGUGGUGGAGCCCAUGCUUCGCGUGCAUGAGGUCCUGGGUUCAAUCCCCAGGGCCUCCA